ACGGAAGGCAGCAGUGGGGGAUAUUGCACAAUGGGCGAAAGCUUGAUGCAGCAACGCCGCGUGAACGAAGAAGGUCUUUGGGCCGUAAAGUUCUGUCCUGGGGGAAGAAAAAAAUGACGGUACCCCAGAAGGAAGCCCCGGCCAACUACGUGCCAGCAGCCGCGGUAAUACGUAGGGGGCAAGCGUUGUCCGGAAUUAUUGGGCGUAAAGGGUACGCAGGCGGCCCGGAAAGCGCGUGGUGAAAGGCGGCGGCUCAACCGCCGUCAGCCAAGCGAACUGCCGGGCUUGAGCGCGGGAGAGGAAGGCGGAAUUCCCAGUGUAGCGGUGAAAUGCGUAGAUAUUGGGAGGAACACCGGUGGCGAAGGCGGCCUUCUGGACCGAGGCUGACGCUGAGGUACGAAAGCGUGGGGAGCAAACAGGAUUAGAUACCCUGGUA
rnacentral:rRNA from 1 species